AUGGCCAAGUCCAAGAACCAUACCACACACAACCAGUCCCUCAAUUGGCACUGAAUGGCAACAAGAAACCCUGGUUACAAAGUUACGAAUCGCUGAAGGGGAUUGACCCUAAAUUCCUGAGGAAUAUGCACUUUGCCAAGAAACAUAACAAAUAAGUCCCGAAGAAGAUGCAGGCCAACAAUUCAAAGGAAGAGAGUGUAUGUGUAGAGGCCAUCAAAGCCCAUGUGAAGCCUCAGGCCAUCAAGCCCAAGAUGCCGAAGGGCCCCAGAAGCACACUCAGCCGACUUGUUCUCACUGUUCACCCAAGGUAGGGAAGUGGAUUUGAAGCUAUGUGGCCGAGGGUGGUAGACUCUGCCAAGCAAAGCUUAAGGUUCAAACCAAGGCAGAGGCUGCAGCUCCAGCUAAGGUGCCCAGGCCCCCUGUGAAGGCCCCAUAG
rnacentral:lncRNA from 1 species